rnacentral:rRNA from 1 species
CCUACGGGAGGCAGCAGUAGGGAAUAUUGCACAAUGGAGGAAACUCUGAUGCAGCGAUGCCGCGUGAGUGAAGAAGGCCUUUGGGUUGUAAAGCUCUUUCGUCGGGGAAGAAAAUGACGGUACCCGAAUAAGAAGGUCCGGCUAACUUCGUGCCAGCAGCCGCGGUAAUACGAAGGGACCUAGCGUAGUUCGGAAUUACUGGGCUUAAAGAGUUCGUAGGUGGUUAAAAAAGUUGGUUGUGAAAUCCCGAAGCUUAACUUCGGAACUGCAAUCAAAACUUUUUAGCUAGAGUAUGAUAGAGGAAAGCAGAAUUUCUAGUGUAGAGGUGAAAUUCGUAGAUAUUAGAAAGAAUACCAAUUGCGAAGGCAGCUUUCUGGAUCAUUACUGACGCUGAGGAACGAAAGCAUGGGUAGCGAAGAGGAUUAGAUACCCUCGUAGUCCAUGCCGUAAACGAUGUGUGUUAGACGUUGGAAAUUUAUUUUCGGUGUCGCAGCGAAAGCAGUAAACACACCGCCUGGGGAGUACGACCGCAAGGUUAAAACUCAAAUGAAUUGACGG